GGUCCUAUAGUGUAAUGGAUAUCACGUUAGACUUCUAAUCUAAAUGUUGUGGGUUCGAGUCCCACUAGGAUCA
rnacentral:tRNA from 1 species